rnacentral:antisense_RNA from 1 species
CUCUAUGGCGGAUCGCGCGGGGAGACCCCUGCGGUCUGCCGGUCCUUGUCCCGGUCUGUCAACCCCGUGCGAUUCGCCACCCCU